AGAGCGAACGCUGGCGGCAGGCUUAACACAUGCAAGUCGAGCGGAUGUAGCAAUACAUCAGCGGCAGACGGGUGAGUAACACGUGGGAACGUACCUUUGGUUCGGAACAACACAGGGAAACUUGUGCUAAUACCGGAUAAGCCCUUACGGGGAAAGAUUUAUCGCCGAAAGAUCGGCCCGCGUCUGAUUAGCUAGUUGGUGAGGUAAUGGCUCACCAAGGCGACGAUCAGUAGCUGGUCUGAGAGGAUGAUCAGCCACAUUGGGACUGAGACACGGCCCAAACUCCUACGGGAGGCAGCAGUGGGGAAUAUUGGACAAUGGGCGCAAGCCUGAUCCAGCCAUGCCGCGUGAGUGAUGAAGGCCCUAGGGUUGUAAAGCUCUUUUGUGCGGGAAGAUAAUGACGGUACCGCAAGAUAAGCCCGGCUAACUUCGUGCCAGCAGCCGC
rnacentral:rRNA from 1 species